rnacentral:lncRNA from 1 species
GUAAAGUAAAAGAAUUAGCAAACUUAAUCAUGUAUUUUAUGAAAGGUUAAGUUAAACAUCAUGUGAUUAAAGAAACUAAUAGUUUCUAUCUUUGUUGAAUUUUAAGUGAACUUUUGCAGCAUAUAACUUUCUAGGGUUAUUCAAUAGUCUCAAUUAUUGGUCCUUGUUGCAUAGAGAACUAAGAAACAUUGGUCCUAUUAUAUGCCACAGGUGGCAGAGUUUUCAGGUCGAAGAACAAACUGAUUAAACAUCUAUGCCCUUAAUAGAAAACUACACCAAUACCCUUCAAUGCACUACAUCAACCCUAUAUAUAUAUAUAUAUAUAUAUAUAUAUAUAUGUGUGUGUGUGUGUGUGAAUAUAAAAAUGUUAUUCAAGUAGACAGCAUGAUUACUGAAUGGCAUGUGAUGCAACCAAAGUAGCAGCAGAGAUCUUUUGGCAAAUGAAUUAUCAAGACUUUGUACUCAUCUACAUUAUAAUUUAUUCAAAUAUCUUUACACUUUUCUCUUCAACAUGCCUAGUAGUAUUGGAAAUACAAAAUCUAUAAAUAUUUGGAUUUAUUCAAUAAGUAUUUGGACUAUUUAAAAAAUUUAAACUAUUUCUUAGUUCAGUAGUUGAUUACUUAGUUUUUUUUUUUUUUAAAUUCAAUUUCCAGUUUUUUUAGACAUUCACAAAUAAAAGAUUUAUUAGCUCUGUCAAGUUGGUAUAUAAAUUAAUUUCAGAUACCAAUUAUGUUUUUUUUUUGUUUAAUUUAAACUAAAUUCUUUUAAUUUAAAGUCUUACUUUGAAAAUUGCUAACUAGUUCAUGUAUAAUACAUUAAAAAGGCCACUUAACUUGAGUUCACAAAUUGAAAGUGAUGUGACAGGAGGAAUAUUUGAUUUAGAGAAUGAUAAAAAUUGUACUUUUAAGAGUAUCUUAUUCCAUAAAAAGAAAACAUGAAAUUAUAAUAUAGUUUUGUAAUCUUAAAACUAUAAACAACAUAUAUGAUUUCUUUAUUUGGUGGAUUGUAGAAUUAAUGAAAAAAUGCUAUAAGUAGAAAUAAAGUUAUGUUGGAUGGAUUACUGAUAGAUGCAUCAAUCAAAUCAAAUACUCUGUGCAGACACUGCUCUACGUGUAGUUUGCUGUGAAUUGAAUGAUACAGAUAAUAGUAUGAUUGAGUUUCCAUGCACACACAUACAAUAUGAUUGAGUUUCCAUGGAUGGUGGUCGAAUCAUUACACUUCACAUGCAUCAGUAGUAAGUAAUCAAUGCUCAGAUUUCAGUUUUUUUGAGAUGCAUUAGGACAUUUUCUUUAUUUUGUGUGUUUGUUCUCUCUCUCUCUAUAUAUAUAUGAUCGAUCGAAUAUGUGGAUGUCGGAUGCUCGCAUAAGAUAUGUGUUACUUAUAUUAUAUUAUUGUUUGGAACGACAAUACAAUACUUAUACCUAAUUGUUAGAGAUUCUGUAUAAAAUAUUUAGAAACUUAGUUAUUUUUUUUUAAAUAGAUAUAAAUAGUUUUGAGAUGAAUGGAGUAGUCAUAUAUUUAAUUAUUGGUUUAAACAUUUUUUUGUCCCUAAGUUAUGAGCGGAAAGUACAAAGAGCAAUCUAAAAUGCUGUUAUUAUUAAGAAACAAAUCAGAGCAAUAUAAAGAUGUAGCAGCAGUUGGUAAGAAACAGUAUUUCAAGUCAAAAAAAGGACAUUUUUUAUACUUUAGAGACCAAAGAUUUAUAUUUUAAAAAACGGAGACUAAACUGAACAUCCGCUUAUAACCUAGAGACCAAAAAGAGAUUUAAACCUUAAUUAUUUGAGGUUAGUGAAUUCUUUAUUAAGGUUUUUUCUUAAGCAUUUUGAUUUUAUAAAAAAUUUCUUAUAUUUUGAGGUGAUCUAAGACUUAUCAAACCUAUUUAUGAAAUUUUUAUCUUUAUAUUUUUUUUUCAUUUGAAUGGAGUUCUAUAGGCCAUGAUUUCUAUUUUUCAUUUUUGUAAGUUUCAAAGAUGAAUUCUUAACAACAUUAUUUUCUAAAUUUAAUAUGAUUUACUUGUAACAUAAAUUGCAUUAGUUAGGCCAAAAUUCAUAAACACAAAAAACAACUAGAUGAUAUGUGAUUAAAUAUUUUUAGAUGAUAUGAUAAUUAUUUAAACAUACAAUGAUAUUAUAUUAAGAAUACAAGUUUAUGUGUCCAAUUUAUUUUCACAAAAUCAGUUUAUAAAUCAAAAUUUAUAUUCAUUUAUAUUCUAUAAAUUGAUUUUAUUUUUAAUUAAUAUUAAAUUUCCAUAAAAAGUAUUCGUAUCUAGAUAUACCUGAUUGGUUGUAUUUACGAACUGCAAUGGAACCUCGAUAGCAUGAAAAAAAAAAAAAAAAGAGUGAGGUUCAAUGAAAAAAAUUAUGGAUCAAUUUUCAACAUAAAGGUUGUUGGUGCAAUUUCUGUCUCAUAUAUAACAACAUUGUUAGUGUUCAUGAAUGUUUGAGUUGAUUUGGAUGCAAAUUAUGCUAUAUAUGUUAGUGACCAUUUUAAGCAAUUUGUUACAUUUUUUAAGCUAAUAAAUUUGUUUUACUGAAAUUGAAAAAAAAAAGUAUAUAAAUAGAGUUGUUAUUUGAGCAGUUUUUGUUUUCUUCUUUUAUUAUUAUUUUAAUCGUUUUAUUAUUAUUAUUAUUAUUUCAUUUGUAUUUAUCUUGAUUUUAUAUAUGUACUUGAUCUUUAAUAAGAAAAAAAGAACACAAGAUUGAAGAGUUUAAAAUGAAUUAAAACAUACCUAAACUUUAUAAUUCUAAAGCGGUAAAGAAAUAGAGAAAUUUGUGAAUGAUGAUUGAUAUUUUGUAUGACUCAAGAAAGCAGUGCACCAUAAAUAUUUCUGAAAAAGGAAAAUGAUAUUUUAAGAUCAUAUUUUGACAUCAUUGGGACGAUUUUAAAUUAAAAAAACAAAUUUUAGUUUUUCUCUUUCAAAUAUAUCUCUGUCUCAAUUUUUUUAAUUUGAAAUCGUCCAAUCAUAUUUUGACACAUCUACAGUAUCAAAAUGGUGUCAAAAAAUAGUAUUAAAAUAUCAUUUUUCCCGGUAUUUUUUUUAAAUUAAAUAAUCAAAAUAAAAUUAUUAAAAUAAAAAAUAUUUCAUAAUUUUUUAUGGAGAGCGUUGCAAUCAAAGUUUCGAACAACAUCAAUUGCGGGAACGAACAAAACUUCUUCAGGUGACACUUUAGCGGACAGCGAACUACAAUGCUUCUGGAAAAGACACGAAAAUAAAUAAAUAGGAGGAAGCUCUAAGAUUUGGGUCUCUCUAAUCUUGUCUCAUACUCAAUUUCUGAAAAAUAAAAAUAAAUCCUAAAAUUUGAAACCUCAUCUCAAAAUCUAUUUCAACAUCAUUAAUGAUUUUUAAAAUUAUUUUUCACAUUUUGAGACGUGAGUCGUAUAAAAAUAUUUUCAAACAAUAUUAUUAAAGUAUCUCUAUCCAAAUAAACUUGACUUUACCAAGAGAAAAAAAUAAAAACAAGAAAUGAUAAAAAAAAAGAAAAAAAAAAGUGGGAAGUGAAAUUGAGAUCCCAUUAAAAGGAGUUUCCCAAUACAAUCUUUUGCUUCUUUUUGUAGUAAAAAUGAAACAGUGAAUGAUAAAAAAUUUGGCGCUCAACACACUGAAACCAUGGAAAGGUAUCGUACAUGGCCCAUGACAAUGAUCAUUCCUUGGCACCCAUUCCAAAGCUCUUCUUCAUUUUCACAUUUUUUUUUCUUAAUUUUCUAUAAUUUAAAUUCGUUAGUUUCUAAUUCUUUUAAUUCAAUUUUUUUUCAAUAAUUUUUUUAUUAACUCUUUCAAGCCACUCUCCUUAUUGUGUAUGCUUUUGUUAGGUCAUUCUAGAAAUUACAUGAUAAUAAUAAUAAUUAUAACAUCAUUGAGUUAUCAGUGAAUGUAAGAUGAUAAAUUUAUAAAUUUUUUUCUUUUUUAUAUUCUGUUCAACUAUUGUUUUAAUAUAAAAUUCAAAUUCACACUUAAAUCUCCUAACUUAAUUUUGAUAAUUUAUAUUUGAGUUAUAUUAUGAGACAUUCUAAGUAGAAGUGCUAUCAAUUCUUUUAUGUGAAUUGGACUAAAACUCAUAUUCAAUUAUGUAAUCUUUCUCUAAUAAAUCAUUCUCUCAGGAAAAAAAACAUCAAUAUGACCACUUUUAAGAUUUCAUUGUUUUCCAAUUUUUAAUUUUAAUAAUCUUUCUUUAUAUCAAGAUGUAUUUCAGUUAUAUUUGAAUUCAAGUAUCUCAAAUUUUUUAUAUCUAUAUAUACUUUUGUUCGUAAAAGAAAACACAAUUGAGAGAACUAAAAACUACAAUCACAUAUAUAAAAAAUUGAAUUCAUAUAAUUCAAACUAUGAACACUAAAAUCACACUAUACAAGAUUCAAUUAAGCUUUAACUUUGAUCGUAAAAGAGGAUUUAAUUAAUAUUUCAUCAUAUUAUAUUUUCGGCAAAAAAAAAACAAAAGAUCUAAAGAUAUGCACUCCUCCUACCUUGGUUGCUAGUGGAUUUUGAACAAAUUAAGCAAUGACAUUACUAUUAAAUUAGCACUAUUUAAAAUAAUGAAACUUGAAAGUGUGGAAUAUUUAUAAUGUUUGUUCCUAAAGUUUGGGUGCAAUGGAUGAAAAGUAGAAACACAGAUCUUAGGAUUAGCUUGUGUGGAUAUAAUUCUAUCCAAAAAUGAUUUCGUGGCAAAAUCAAUUGCCAUGCUUUUCCCAAAAGUCAGACCAACAAGAUCAAACCUUAAUUAAGUUCUUGAUUUUGUCUGCUGUCUGAUUUGGUAGCAUAAUCAAAUAAUGCUUUUAUCAAUUCAGGUGAGGCACAGUAUAUUCCAAGUCACAAAAUCACUGGUUGUUAAAAUUACAUUUAUGUUUUUAUUAAAAAGAAAUAAACAAAAUGAUGUUAUAAAAUAAUUUCAAACUAUAAAUAAAGUGACGUAGAAUUUUGAAAAGCUUUAUGUUGUUUAAAAACUGCAUUUAUUGUAUGUUUAUUUUGGUUAUUAUAUGAGUGUUGUGUGGUAGGAAAGGAAACAUAUGAAUAAUAUGGUAUGUUAGGAUGUUGAAAGGAGGGAGAAAAUGAAGGUAAGGGAAGCACAUGGAAUAUAUAAUGGUUUUCCAAAAUUAUAGUAAACAAAUGUCCUUUAGUAGUUAGGACCACAGAACAGUAACAGAAAGAGGAAUGAGAAGCAAAGUGAUAGGAAGAAGAAACCAAAGUGAACAGUUUCGGUUUUGGCUGUUUCGGUUUUUGAGAGAAUGAAUAUCACUGACUUAGUAAAAAAGUUUUAAAAGAAAAAGACACAAAACUCCAAUCACUGUACUAACAUAACAAAGCCACCCCAUUGCUCGAUAAAUCUUUCAACUGUUCCUUUCAUCACUGCUAAAAGACAAUGCUAACAGAGGAAGCAAAAAGGCCUCACUCACACACUCUUUCCUUUUCUCUUAACCACGUAUGCAUGCAAAUGCAAUACCCUCUUUCAUUUUCUUCCCUUACUUCCAAAAGUUGGAGCAUCUCAAUCUCACUUACCUCAUUAUCUUCAUCCACCACCAUAUAUAGUACUACCCUUUCAUUUUUCACUUCUCUCUCUCUAUAUAUAUAUAUAUUAUCAUUUUUAUUCUUUAUAUAAUAAUAAUAGUAGUACACAUUAUUAUCAGCUAGCUGUAGCACUUCAAUAUCUGGCAUAUCAAAGGUUCACUUCUUCUGCUCAAAAAUAGACAUGGAAUCUGAGAGGCCUAACACUACUAUUGAGACCUACGAACACCAACACCAACUACAACAGCAAGAUGAUGACGAGGAAGAAGAAGAAGAAGAAAAGAACAAUGAGAUCCUCAAGAGAAGAAUCUCCAGCCACCCUCUCUAUGGACUGCUGGUUGAAGCUCACCUCGACUGUUUGAAGGUUCCUUCUCUCUUUUCCUUUCAACUCCUUCCUUCUUAUUAAUUCUGUUUACUGUUUUCAACCUCAACUUUGUGUUUCAUCACUGUAUGCCAUAUAUCAUGGUUGAUUUCUCAGAAAAGUAAUUGUAUCAAACUGUAAGAUGUGAUUCCAAACGAUAUGCUUCUUUUUUAAUCUGAAUGUGAAUCAGUGUUUAAGAGGGAACUGUUUCUCUUGCCCUUUCAAAGAAGUCUUUCAUCCCUUCUUGGAUCAUGAUAAAUGACCAAGGAUUAUCUUUCAGAUCGAGUUCUUUUCUUCCAAUAUAACAUACUGAAGGGAGCAGAUUCGUUUAUAUAUUUAUAUGCAAGCUGAAGUUCAACUCCAGUUUGGCCAAACUGGUUAAUUUUAUAAUUAAAUUGUAUCUUAAAAGUUGUGAUUAUAAUGUGGUGGGUGAAGUAGUUCACAUAGAGAAAAACAAAAGCUUGACUACAUCAUUUGAAAUGGAAACUGACCUUUCUUGAAAGUGAAGUUUUUCUUAUCAUCAACCACUUUAUGGAUUGAUAAACUGUGGACUGAUUAACUUGUUGAUUGCUGCACAUUGUGUACAAAAGAUAACAGGAAGACCAAAGGAUCUUCAUUCUUUUAAUUUAAGCACGAACCUUAAAAGAUAAUGGUUUUAGAACUUUUAUUCAGGUCGGUGACAUUUCCAACCUGGAGAGAGAGCUGAAGAUAGAUCAGAUGCAAGCAACAGAGAAGAAAAACUUGGGCAUGUUCAGCCAAUCUGAGCUCGAUCUCUUCAUGGUAAGACUAACACAACACACUCUCUCUCACUUCCUCACCUGUUUGGUUUGGUUUACACAAACAUCAAUGUAUGUAUGUAUGAAUGAAUGCUUUUAUGGGAUAUGAUGAUGAAGUACCGUACGAAAAGUCAGUCAAAUAUAUAACCUAACACAUCAUGUGAGAACUGAAUUAUGUUAAUUUUGAUGGACACUUCAUGGUUGCCUAAAGCAUGUGCUUCCUGCUUGAAAGAGACUACUCUCAGAAAUGCUCAUAGUUUUUUGUUCCAAUUCCAUGACUGUGACACUUUUCCUAUCUCUCUCUGUGUUUGUGCUAGCUAGUGUUCAGAUGCUAUCUUUUCACAUUUACUUUAGGCCGCAAAGAUCAUUAGAGUUUGGUUAUUACUCACCAUAUAAUUGUCAUAACCACCUCUUAUAUAUUUUUCUCAUCAAAACUUAUCGUAAAGAUUUUAUUUUCCUUGAAUUCUCCACAUUUGUCUAUAUCUGUGUCUCAGGCUUAGAUUUUGCAUGUAUCUUAUCUUUACAGUAUUAGUUAAUAGAAAGAAAUGAUGAAAAAUGGAUGAAUAUAAGAUUAAAACCAGUAAUUUUUAGAACAGUAAAGAUUACACAAGAUGAAAGUAAUGAUUAAAGUUUUUGAAGGUGUUAGGUCUAAUGGUAAAACUUUGAAUAGAGAAAAUGGUAGGUGAAGGUGGCAGUAUCUGAAGUGUUGAACAUAUCAUAAAUGUGGAAUGCAAUGGUGUCAUUAAAUAAUAGUGAGAAAAUAUCUGGGAUGAGUUUGAGAAAAUACUUUUUGACACAAGUAGUAUCACUUUGUUAUACUGCUUUGAAUGGACUGGAACAUGCAGCUUCUCUUUGAAUUGCUCAUUUUUAGGAGACCUAUUAGACCCCACACUUCCACCUUCAUAUACUUCUCCAAACUUUUAUCAUUCUUCAAGCACUUUUAGAUAGAAUAUAUAGACUUUAGGUAAGCAUUGCUAAGUGUGUAAAAUGAUGAUGGAUGCAGGAAGCAUAUUGCUUGGCACUUGGGAAGCUUAAAGAAGCAAUGGUGGAACCACAACAGAAGUCCAUGGCUUUCAUAAACAACAUGCAUUCUCAACUUAGAGAGAUCACUAACCCAACUUUGCCUGCACCUUCUUCUGAACCUUCACCACCUUCUGCUUCUUCUAGUCACUCCAAAUUCUCAAUAAAUUAGCAACAAUUUACUUUUUCAUGCAUGCAUCAUACUUUAAAAUUAUUAUAUAUUAUAACUAGGUUAUUAAGUAAGCCUUUCAAUUAUCAUCAUAUCCCUGAUUAAUUAAACUCUACCUCAUAUAAAUAUAUAAACUAACUGUCAUUAACUGCCAUGACUAUUAUUAUUAUUAUUAUUAUUGUUGUAUAAAUAUUAUUGAGGUUAAUUAGGUUUAUUUCUUUUUAGAUUUUUCCAUAAAAAUGAACCUAGGUUAGAGAUAUUAAGGUUCAUCGAGACAUUUUUUACUCUAGUAAAGAAUUUUUGUUAAAAAAAUUCCAACAAUUCAGAUCAUAACAUUAGUAUGCACGACCAUAAGGUUGUUUCAAUGAGUAUCUUAACAAAAGUGUAAAGGAAUUAAACAACAUUUAUUCAUUGUUAGAAAUUACGAUGAAAAAAUAAAUGCUAAAUUUUUUUAUCAUCCUUUUUUAUUUUAGUUUAUAUAAAGAAAACUAAUUGAUUUACUAAUUAUGUCUGGUGAUGAUUAUGUUUUUUUUGAAAAAUAACAAGUUAAAGAAAAAACAGUUUUUACAAGAACAAAGAGAUUAUAUUCCUUCAUAACGAGUCUAAAUUAAACUCAUACUAAAUUAUAAGAUUGAUAAUAUUUUCAUUUGUUUAUCUACUUCCCAAUUAUCCCGAAAGUGUUAAUUAACACUAUUUCUAAUAUUUGUAAUUUUAUGAUUUUGGAGUUUGGAGAUGACCAAACAUUUAAACAAAUUAAUUAAUUCAAUUAAAUCACCAAGCUGUUUGAAAUCCAGAAAGGAAAAAAAAACACUAAAAGAAAAAACUUCUUAAAUGUGUAACAUUUUUUCAUCACAUGCAUUGACCCUAUAAGUAGUGACAAUAUUCAUAUCCCAAAAAGACCAGAAAGAGUUUAAAUACUAUAUUUCUUCAAGUUUCGAUAGUUAUAAUAGUUUAUAAUUAAGAAAUAAUACAAUCCAAAACUUUAAAGAGAAUUCAGUCAAAUACUUUAGGUUAAACCAACAUAGCUAUAUAUAGAUAAAUAAAUGACAACUUUAUACAUAUAUAUAUAUAUAUAUAUAUAUAUAUAUAUAUAUAUAUAUAUAUAUAUAUAUAUAUAUAUAUAUAUAUAUAUAAGUAUAAGAAGGUUAAAAUUUUGGCUGAUCAUUUAUCACCCUUAUAUUUGAGGGAUUAAAAUAGAUUUUUAUGAAGAAUUAGGAUCUAAUUUUUAAUUUUUUUAAAGAAUUAGGAUCUAAUUUUUAAUUUUUUUAAUUUUAUAUAAUAAAAAACUGAAAACAUAUUUAACUUUACUAUUUAUAUAAAUACCACACUUUAUUUCAAGUCAUAACUUGCUCUGUGGGAGCCGAAUUUUGAUCUGAUCUCAAUUUUAUCAAAAUACUAGUUUAAGGCAACGACCUUUCCAACGCCGUCGUCCGAAGCGUCUCCUCCUCCUUUCCUCCCUCCCAGUCAACCGCCGCUGCAAAACCCCCGUCGCUGUCGACGCCGACGAGGUUCUCCCCCUCCCUCUAUGUUUCAUUUUGCUAUCUGUGUGAUUUGGGUUCGAAUUGAUUAACUUUUUCAAGAGAGAGCAGAGCACCUUUCGUUUUAUUUGUUGGGUUCCUAUUUGAUGGUGAUUUUGGAUUUUGGUGCGUUCUGUUUGUCCCUGGAAUGGAAUGUGAGGUCUCGAUUUCUAGGUGCGAUUUUGUCUAGGUCCGGCAAGAGCUGGUGUUUCUGGUUUGAAUGAAGAACAUUGGAUUCCGAUUACUGGUUGUCUGAAUCUUAUUUAGUAUGUUUAAUUGUGGUGGAAUGAUGUAAUAUACUUUAUUGUCUUAAUUUGAUUUCAUUUGAGCUUUGACAUUUGUCUACCAUUUGCAUUUGCUGAAAUUUGCUGGGUCUGUUGGGUGAUGUGGUUUUGUAACGUGCCUUUCAUUUUUAAAAAAAAAAAACAAAAAAAAAAGCCGCUCGGCCCGCUGGCCAGUUGCUAUGCGGAUCGGGCUAGACUUUUUAGCUCGCAUUUUAAAAGCGGGGCUGGCUAGCCUGCCACUCUUACCUUUACAUGUAUUCUGAUGUUAUUAUUAUUAUUAUUGUUGCCUUUGGACUUUAUUUUUGUUUUGUCUUUGACAAGUUAAUUUAAUUUACAAUUUUUUAUGUGAUGCUGAAAUUAUCACCUGUAAGAAGACUUUGCUAACUAGAUGUGUGGGCAGUCUUAAUUUUAGUUUCAGGUUAUGUUUUGACAUCCGAAAUCUGGGCAGAGUUGAUUGCCGUUCAAAUUGUAACAUAUAGACAAAUAGCGAGAAUAGUUUUAGACUCAUUUGGGUUUGUGUCCCAAUUCCAUGAGCAUAAGAUGGCCAAGACGGUUGACACCAACCUAUCUCUCUCAGAUUAUAAGAACCCAGAAAAACCCAAUAAAGGCUCUUCACAUUUUCAAUGAAGCCAAAUCCAGGUACCCCAAUUACUGCCACAAUGGUCCUGUUUAUGCCACCAUGAUCAACAUCCUUGGAACAUCAGGGAGGCUGACUGAGAUGAGGGAUGUGAUUGAGCAGAUGAGAGAGGAUUCAUGUGAAUGCAAGGAUUCUGUUUUUGUGUCUGUUAUUAAGACAUAUGCCAAUGCCGGCCAGGUAGAUGAAGCUAUGUCUCUGUACAAAACAAUUCCUCAGUUUAACUGUGUUAAUUGGACAGAAUCCUUCAACACAAUUUUGCAGAUAAUGGUGAAUGAGAACCGGCUUGAAAUGGCCCACCAUCUCUUUGUCAAGAGCUCUUGUGGUUGGGAAGUGAGGUCUCGGGUUCGAGCAUUGAACUUGCUUAUGUAUGCUCUUUGCCAGAAUGGUCGCUCUGAUUUGGCACUGCAGUUAUUCCAAGAGAUGGAUUAUCAAAGUUGCUACCCUAAUAGGGACAGCUAUGCAAUUUUGAUGAAGGGAUUGUGCCAAGACAGGAGGUUACAUGAGGCCACCCAUUUGUUGUAUUCAAUGUUUUGGAGGAUCUCACAGAAAGGUAAUGGUGAGGAUAUUGUAGUCUAUAGAACACUUUUGGAUGCUUUAUGUGAUGCUGGAAAACUUGAAGAAGCUGUGGAAAUUCUAGGUAAAAUUUUGAGGAAAGGACUGAAGGCUCCGAAGCGAUGUUAUAACCAUCCUGAUCUUGGCCAGUUCUUGGAUGGCAAAGAUAUAGAAAGUGCUAAACAUGUGAUUCAUGAAGCUUUGGUCAAAGGCUCAAUUCCUAGUUUGGCUAGUUAUAAUGCCAUGGCUGUUGAUCUGUACACCGAAGGUAAGAUAGAUGAGGCUGAUAAGGUCAUCAUGGUAAUGCAAGACAGAGGCUUUAGACCAACACAUAAUAUCUUCGAGGCAAAAGUAGCUGCAUUGUGCAAGGUUAGUAAGGUGAACGAAGCAAUCAAGGUAAUUGAGGAAGACAUGGUGAAAGUUAAUUGUCUACCAACUGCUAGAGUGUACAACAUUCUCUUGAAAAGCCUAUACAAUGUUGGAAAUUCUAUGACUGUACUCGAGAGCUUGAACAAGAUGUCAAACAAGGUAGGUAGUGCAGGUGACAGAGAUACUUACGGCAUGUUGCUGGAAAUGCUUUGUGGUGAGAGAAGGUAUGUCGAGGCAAGCCAACUUCUGGAGAAAAUGUCAAUUAAGUCAUACUGGCCCAGUACCAACAGUUAUAAUUCUGUCAUUAAAGGUCUUUGCUCCUUAGGUAGGCAAUAUGAAGCAGUUAUGUGGUUAGAGGACAUGAUGAGCCAGGGAAAGCUUCCUGAAACUUCUGUCUGGAAUUCAUUGGCAUCUUUAUUUUGUAACUCAGAAAAGAUUAAAGCGUCUUCUGAGACAUUUAGUCGCCUGAGUGGUUUGUGAAAUUGUGAUUAAUAGAAUCAUGUACCACCAAUCUUUUUUUUUUUUUUUAAUUUAAAUGCUUCUUUAAUAGCUUCAAAGACACCAUAUUUAGUGUUGAUUCAGUUGCUGACUUGACCCUUCGUAACUUGUUCAGUUACCAAGCUUGCAUUCACUUUUGACCCAAAAAAACUUCAAGCAGGGCAUAAGAUUACUUGUGGAAUCCCUGUCCUGUUUGCGUGUCCUAGGUUGGAUCUUUUAAGUUGCUUUAUAGUUUGGCGUUCUUCUCCUACUGAUAAGUCCCAUAUUCUUAAAUUUUUUCUUGACUAAGUGCAUUGUUUUGGGUAGAUUUAAGUUGUUAAUUUUUAGUUUUUAGAUUAGAUUUAGUUUAGGAAGCAUUUCAGGUUAGUUUUAUAAAUUUAGCUUGAUUAGGCAAUUGUAGUGCAAUUUUAGUGUUAGUCUUAGAAUUAGUUCUAGAGUAGCCUGGGAUUGUGGAAUUCUAGUUUAGAUAUUAGUUUCUUAGUUUGAUUACAAUUUUACAAGUUAGAAUUAAAUAGGAAUUUAGUUAAAAGUUAGUAGCCUAGUUUAGUAAAUAGAUUUAGUAAUAAUUCAUAACUAAGAGUAGACUAGUGUAGCUUAGACUAGAUUGCUUAAAUAGUCCUGUAUAGAUUAAGGUUACUUGUAUAGUGUUUUUGGGGCAUAAUUCAGGUUUAGGAUAGGAGAAUUGUAGGUGCAGUUCUGGUUUUUAGUUCUUAGCAAGAUUAACUUAGUGACUUAGCCUAGUCUAGUUUAGGUAGUUUUGAAUAGCAUGGUAAUUCGAACUUGUGUUUUUGUAAUUGUAGUAGCUAAAUGAAAUAAGGUCAGCAAUGAAAUGGUGAUCAAAACUAGUCAGCACAUACAACUCAGAAUUAGCUUGGCAAUUAUGCAGAGUUGACCAGAGAGUUGACCCAAAGUUGAGUUUUUGGAAUUGAUCUCCAAAUGCUAUGACAGCUGAUGGAAGCCCAAAAUGACAUUGCUUCACACUUGUGCUGAGUUUUUUUGACUUAUAGAAGUGAAAGAAGCUGCUCUAAUUAGUCAAUUCGUAGAAAUGAGCAAAUCUUGUGUAGUGAACCAAAUAAACCAUGGGUUUGAGCUUAAGUAAGAUGCUGAAUGAAGUCUACACGUGCUGUAUAGUUAAAAUUGCUAGAAUUGAUGUUGUGCAGGAGAAGCAAGCUGUUGAGAAGAGCUGAACCAAGGUUAAGAAAGUUGGAACUGCUGACACAUUGUGGUAGAAGUUGAUUGACUGGACAUUUGAAGUCUGCACAUGUUGUCAAGAUGCAGGAGCUGCUGAGUUAUCAACUAAUACAGCUGUAUGUGACCUACAAUAGCCAGUAGGAAUCCAAAAGGCACAAUUGAAGAACUGUGUGAACCUGCAUUAAGUUAAAUAGUUAGUUUAGGAUAGAUAUAAUUAACUGUAAAACUUGUCUUGAUUGUUACUUUACAGUUUGUAGUAGUUUCUAGUUUGUGUGAGUUGGUAGUUCAGUUUUGAUAGUCUUUUAGCAUUUAAAACGUGUCUUGAUUGUUACUUUACAGAUUUACUUCCAAAUUUUGUGCGAUCCUGGUCUUAGCUUAGUUUAGGAUGCAUUUGUAGGUUCUUAUAGGUGAAAUUUUGUAGUUCUUUGUAAUUGUAGUAAUUAUCCUAGUUUCUAGCAUUCUUUCAUCGUUUAGAACUUGCUUAGAAGUUAAGUUUUUUGUUUAGGUAGCUUAGGCAUUAUUUUUUAGUCCUUGUAGCAUGGUGAUGAGCAUUGGAGUGAGUUUUACGUGAAAUUCAAGGUCUUUAAUCAGAUAUUGUAGUUUCUGUUAUUUUUGAAUUGUGACUUGGUUUUUAUCAUUCAAAAGUUAUUUAGAUAGUUUCUUUACAGUUCCAAAUAGUAGUUUAAGGAAAUUUUCAGUUUUAGCAUUUUUAGCCUACUAAUAUCUUGGUUAUCUCUGUAAUUGCAGUUUUCUUUUGUUUAAUGAUAUUUGCUAUAACUUUCGUUGCAACAUAAGAUAUUUUCUAUUAACAAGGAUUGAUUCCACGGAUAAAAACUGUCUACUUCAAUGUAAUUAUCUUUCUUCAUUAUUUUGGCUUUUGCAAAUGUGAUAGUGAUGCUGGUUAGGGUUCGUUACUGAUUUUUAUGACAAAUUGACAAUUGUUCUAGCAGCUUGAUAGAGCAAUUUUGGAAUCAAGGGAUGUUGUUUUCUUGCUAGCAAUGACACAUCAUUUUCUUGCUAGAGCAAUUAUUGUGUUAUUUACUGUUCUUUAACAUUUUGUUUUCAAUUAAGGGUAUGCAGUAUAUACUUUUUAAUUUUAUUUUUAAUUAGAGAAUUCAUUAGCGAGUUAAAUAGAAAACUAUACAAACAAAAACCAUCGUCAUCUUGUUUGUUCCAAUAGAAAUUUUGAUCUGACACUACCUAUUAGAAUUUGAGUUGAAUGUGUGUAAAACAUCAUAAACUUUUAUUUCAUUUCGUGCUCCAACCACAUAUUCGUUUAUUUUAUAACUAAAUGACUUGAAGUAUGUAUAAACCGGCAAAACAAUAAACCAUGACACUAAAAGUUGAAAAUGAGUCUUAUUAUUAUUCUCAAUCAUGAAAAAUACAUUCUCAAACCUUCUAUUUAUAAUAAUCUAGUUCUCAUGAAAAGAGAAAUAGGGAAACUAGGAAAUCUAAAAAAUAAUAAAAUAAAAUAAAAGUUAUGUAUCUAUUUUCUCUAAUUAAGAGGUUUCUAAAGAUAUUAUUUCAAAUUACAAUACUCCUUUUAAGUUGGUAAAUAAAUAUCAAUCAUUCUCAAUUGGUCUACAAGAUCUUGAAAUCUACCUGGAGGAAGUUCUUUUGUGAAAAUAUCUACUAUUUGAAGUUCUGUAGAAACAUGAGUUGUAAUCACAAAGCCUCUGUCAAGAUUAUCUUUGAUGAAAUGUCUAUCAAUUUCAAUGUGUUUGGUUUUGUCAUGUUGUACUGGAUUAUGGGUUAUGCUUAUAGUAGACUUAUUGUCACAGUGUAGUUGCAUCGGGUGCUCCACUUUGACUUUAAGAUCAUCCAAGAUGAUUUUCAUCCAAAGUCCUUCACACAUUCCUUGAAAAAGGGUUCAAAAUUCAGCUUCUGCAUUAAAACGGGAUACUCUAUCUUGCUUUUUGCUUCUCCAUGUUACCAAACUAUCUCCAAGAAAUACACAAUAUCCAGAAGUAGAUUUUCUGUCAGUGAUAGAACCAGCAUAAUCAGCAUCAAUAUAUUUGCAUAAUAAGCAUCAGUAUAUAUCUUCAUAUUCAAUGUGUCUUCCCUUUUGAAUAAUAUCCCCUUUCCUGGACUUGACUUCAAGUAUUGGAGAAUUUUUUUCAACUGCUUGCAUGUGUCUCUCUCUUGGAUCAUGCAUAAAUUGGCUCACUACACUCACUGAUAAGCAAUGUCUGGUCUUGUGUGUGAUAGAUAAAUCAAUUUUUCCACCAAUCUUUGAUAUUGAGUCUUCUCUACAGGAGCACUUUCUUCACUUCCAAUUUUGUGAUUUUGUUCUAUAGGAACAGUUGAGGUUCUACAUCCAAACUUUCCUGUUUCUUUGAGGAGAUCAAGUACAUAUUUCCUUUGGGAGAUGACAAUUCCGUUCUUGGAGUAGGCAACCUCUAUUCCAAGAAAAUAUUUGAGUUUUCCUAGGUCUUUCAUUUCAAAUUGAGCUGCCAAUUUUUCUUUUAAUGUCAAUUUUUCUGUUUCAUCAUCUCCUGCAAUAAUCAUAUUAUCCACAUAGACAAGCAAUAGAGUGAAUUUACCUAUAGAAGAGUGCUUUAUGAAUAGAGUAUGAUCUCCUUGGCUUUGUCUGUAUCCCAAGGAAACCAUUGUUUUUGUAAAUCUUCCAAACCAUGCUCUAGGAGAUUGCUUAAGACCAUAUAAUGCUUUCUUCAGAAGACAUAUCUUAUUUGUUUCAUUUUUCAUUUCCUGAGAGAAUCUCCAUGUACACUUCCUCGUCUAGAUCUCCUUGUACACUUUCAUUCUUCAUAUCAACCUGAGUGGUAGAGCAAAGCUUGAAGUCAAGUUCAAAUUUUUGUUUGCGGUAGUAUAGUAGAUAUUUGAUACUCUUCAAAAGUACAAUUUUUUUGUAUUUGUCUUUUAAGGUCAUGCUUCAGUUGUACAUACUCAAUUUUCUUUUCUUUUUGGUCUUCUUUAAAGGUUCUCAAGCACUUUUUAAUCACUGGUUGUGUCAAUUUUAUAAUGUAACACCAACAAAUAUAUCCCAAUGCAUAGUUCCAAACAAAAAAAAAUGAUAGAUGCUUAACAAUAAUUUGUUAUCAUAGUGUCCAUGUCUACCAUGAUAACAGCAUCUGCAUCUAUUCAUAUCUAAAAUUUUAACCUCAAAUUCAUGUUUCUCUAACUUUUGUAAUAUGAACUACAUUUCACAAUAUGUUAGUAUUUUAUUCAUAUAUAUACAUGUUAUUUUUGUUUGCACUUUAACUACAUUUCAAAUAUAUGUAUAAUGUUAGACGCUACAUUAAAAUUACUCAAACUUAAAUUACUAAAUAACUAUAAAUAUUAUAUUUAACUCGUUAAAAUAAGGUAAUAAAAAGAAAUAGUCACUAUAAUUGUUUUUUAGAAAUAUUUUGUUAUAUGUUUUCUUUUUCAUUACUACGUUUCACUGAUUUCAGCAUCUAUAUCAUUUUAGAGACUAAAUUAAAAUUACUCUGACAUAAAUUACAAAAUAACUAUAACUAUUAUGUUUAAUUAAUUAAAAUAAGGUAAUAAAAAGAAAUAGUCACUAUAAUUGUUUUUUUUUAAUAUUUUGUUGUACGUUUUCUUUUUCAUUCCUUCCUUUCACCAAUUUCAGUAUUUAUAUAAUGUUAGAUAUAAAAACCAACUCAAGAUUUAAGUAUGUUGGUGUAGCAUCAUACAUAAAUUUACGUUUCAUAAAUAUAUAGUCAAAUGUAAAUUUAAAACAUUUAAAACAAAAUGUUAGUUAAAUUUACGUCUAUAGGUACAAUCAUAAAUUAUUGAAAACAAAAUAUACAUUUUAAAUAGAACUUUGUCAAUAUAUAAUAAACAUUUUCAAAGUCAAAAUAAAUAUAAGUCAUUCUAUUGAAUAAAAUAGGUAAUAUAACUUAAAACAAAAAACUAAUCAAAAUAAAUGUUGGAGGAGAUGAUUCGUUCAUUAUUGUCUUAUUUAGAUCAAGUUGUUCUUUAAUAUAGAUGAUGGAUCAUUAAACACUUAAAACAAUAUUACAAUAUUAUUAAAUAAUAGAGUUUAUCAAACCAUCCAAUUUAUGCACAAGUUAUAAAUAUUUACAUAUUUUUCAGUUUUUAUGGAUUUGUACUUGAAUGAUAACUUUCAUAUAAUACUAAAAUAAAUGAAAAAUAAUUAAUAUCAUAUGAUUUCUACACAAAUAGUUAAUUUAAAUAUUGAAUGAUAUAAAUUAUAAUAAAUGUUUAAAAUUAUGUUGUUAUAAAACAAGGAUAAAAUGUAGAAUCAAUUAUACUUGGUUGCAAAGAAAAUUUGAAAGUGAGUAUCCAUGGAACUUCAAUGUGGUUACAAAACUCCAAACCAGGGGAAAAAAAAAACUAAAAACCAAAACCAGUCACAUUCAUCUAAUGUGUUGUUUUGUUCCUAGAAAAUUACCUAGGAAAUUACAAAAUAAUUCCUGCAUACAAUAAAAACUAAAGUAAACAGCAUUUAACUCAUAUCUCUAUAAAGUAAAAUAAACUAAAACUGCAUUUAACUAAAAUAAACUAAAAUAGUCAUCUCCACACGCAGCUUUGGACUUGAGUAUACUCAUGUCCUUCACAUGCAGCUAUUAGACAUGUCUCAAUAUCAUCAAUCUCGGUAUAGAGUAAUUAGAGUUCAUCAUUUCACAACAAAUAUUUAUAUCCAUUCCAUCCAUUCAUAUUGACUAUAAAUGCAAAAUCAUCCAUUCAAACCAUACAUUUUUAAGGAUAGAUCUCUUUGUAACCAUUCGAUUAUUCUAAUGUAUCGUAUGAUCAUAACAUCACAAAAAUACAAGUACAAGGAUAGCUCCCCUACCUUUCAACAUACUCGACAUGUAAUCAGAAUAACCUAUCCAGUCAUACAAAUUCUGCACAAAAUAAAGAGAUAAAUUAGUUCCCCUUUGUUUUUCGUUAUACCAUUACAGUAAAUAUACACACAAUUCCUUUACUCUCUCUUGUUUGAUUGCCUUCGUGUGAGUGUGCAUUGUGAGAAAGUUAACAUGAUGCACCUUAUCUUCUUUAUACCCAAAGACUAAAAAAUCACAUCAAUGAAACUGGUUAAUAAUUUAAAGUUGUAAAUAGAACAUUAUUAGAAACAAAAUACUUUAAUAUCUUUAUAAUAAUUAUGUGUGUAUUCCAUCCACUGAGGCACGAAUGACUUUAAGAAAAUAAAAUUCUUCACUCUAAUCACAAGACUCGCAUGCUUUCUAGACAUUAAACAAACCCCAGUAGGAAGUCGAAAAACAAACCAGACAAUUUCAAAUGAACCCAUGUUGUUAAAAGAGUUCAAAACAUCAUAAGUAAAUCAUCGUAGGCACAAUGGCAUGAAUUUAAAUAUACCUGGAGAGGAGUUCCAAUCAAAAGCACACGGUGUUUGUUGGAAAAUUGCAUCAAUGAAGAAAAACUCAGUCACUAAGGUGGCAUUGCUGUUUCAAACUCUCCAUGUUAAUAAUAAAGUGAUGGAAGACAAAUAUAACAGAAGGGAAUAAACAAAAAUUAAGUAUCAAGUCCCAUUAUAAGAGCAGUUAUAUCACUUCUAUCUACAAAUGGGGCAGCACCUACACAAAGAAAGUUUGGUUUCAAUAUCCAUUACUUUUCGGUAAAGGCCCCGUCAAUGAUUCUCUCCAAUUAUAAUUAUUGAUAUAGCUGGGCAAGCAUGUAAUGGUUCCUACAUGAACAAUUGAUCAUUACCGAGCAGUAGAAAGUAUGUAACUGGUGACAAAGCUACAGAAGUGAUUCACUGAAAAUAAAGAAGAAAUGAUAUACCAGUUUAACAUUUUCACACGUCAGAUAUGCUGAUUGCUCUGCUAGUGAAGAUGGGUUUGAUGACAAGGAAUUAUGAGAAAUUGAAAUGCUUGAUGGAUUCAAAAAACUAUGAAGCUCAUCAAAAUUUAAGGAUUCACUAAAAAUAAAGAAGAAAUGAACAUCGUUCAGCGUUCAAAAAUUUGAGCUUCCCCUGUCAACUUAAUUAUUAUAUCAUUAGCCGUCAGCUCAAUUUGAAGAAUUUUAUACAUCACAUACAAUCUCUGAUCAGCAAAGCAAUGCUCAUCAAAUCCAAUAAGUAUUUGAUUAAUAUUCUUCAAAUCAGGCAGAUCGGUGACGAGCCGAAGAAACUGGCACGGAUCGACUGGCGAACCGGACCUUAGACGCAGCGGAAGACCGGAAACGGAGAACCUAGGGUUUAGGGUGGUUUGUUCGGUAUAAGUGCUAAGUUUAGGGAUCUGAAGUGUUUUAAUCGGUGAAAAAGAAGGUUUCACCGACUGAACCGAAGACUGGAACGAAAAUGGAGUUUGGUUCGGUGAAAGUGAAGGAAACCGAGGAAAACGUUCGGUUAAAGUGAAGGAGAUGAUGAUGAGAAGGUGGAUCUAGGAAGGAAAAACAAAUUUACCGGUGGAUAGGAUGGGAAUCUGUGGUGGAAGACAUUGGUCUGUGAAGAAACCCUAGCUUCCAAGCAGAGAAAGGUGAGAGAAUGGUUCCGUGGUGUGUGAGAAUGAAAAUGCAGCGUAGGAAAUAAGGGCUGACGCUGAUUGAGCCAUGCGGCUGAAGUUGAGUGGUGUUUAGGUGGAGGAGAGAGAAAUAUCUGAUGUUGGAGAAUGAAAGAAUGGUACGUGAGUGGAAGGUGGUUGAGGAAUCCCUUGGAUUCUUCAGCCUUGACUUUCAAGGAAUUAAUUCUGGAGUAAUCUCAACAGGAAAUUAAUUCAUUAUCUCAAAAGUCCCUACAAGAUGUGUUAGCAUGCCUAUAUAUAAGGCUAAAUGUACCACAUGCCUAACACAUUGUACACAUCUCUAAUACAAGUAAAAGAAAUACUAGACUAAGGAAAUUGGGCUUGUGCCCAAGUCAUCAUAGCUGUCGAGCCUUAAGAGCGAAUUUUGGAGCCACUAUAAUAGAAGGUAGACUAUGUAAGUCUAAUUGGUAAUCUAUGCCACUAUAAUUGACUCUCUGUUUAAAGAUUAUCUUGCAAAAGAGACUUAUGAUAUGAUUAUUAAAAUGAUCUCAAACAACAUCAUGCCUGGUGUUUAUAUCUAAAUUGUAAUCAUCGAUGCUUUAUGUAAGGAAAGAAAGAUAAAAGAAGUGUUUAUAUGAUAGUUUUGGCAUCACUGUCUUGAAUACUUCAAAUGCUUUGUCUAUAUGAUAGUUUUUGCAAAAAGCCUAUAUCAAGGUAUAAAGUGCUAAACACAUGUUUCUCUUCUGCAUAUUCUGAAAGAGAUUCAUGGCCUCAUCCACUCUUUCACUCUUACAUAAUCCAUUAAUCAUGAUAUUAUUGCUGUAAACAUUAGGAAUUAUUCCAAUUUGGGUCAUAGCAUUAAAUGUGUUUAGCACUUUGCACCUUGUUAACUAAAAUAUACCCAUCCAUCAAAGUGCUAAAGGUAACAAUGAUAUAUGCACUUUGAUGGAUGGCUAUAUUUUAGUUAACAAGGUGCAAAGGGCUAAACACGUAUUUAAUGCUAUGACCCAAAUUGGAAUAACUCCUAAUGUUUACAGCAACAAUAUCAUGAUUAAUAGAUUAUGUAAGAGUGAAAGAGUGGAUGAGACCAUGAAUCUCUUUGAGAAAAUGCACAAGAGGAACAUGUGUUUAGCACUUUACAUCUUGAUACAAACGUUUUGCAAAAAUUAUCAUAUAGACAAGACAUUUGAAGUAUUUAAGACAAUGAUGCAAAAACUAUCAUAUAGACACUUCUUUUAUUUUUUUUUCUUACAUAAAACAUCGAUCAUUACAGUAUAUAUAUAAACAUCAGGCAUGAUGUUGUUUGACAUCACUUUAAUAACCAUAUCAUAAACCUCUUCUACAAGAUUAUCUUUGAAUAAAGAGUCAAUUACACAGUACAUUGCCACAAUAGACUUACAUAAUCCGUGUUCUAUUAUUCUGAGCAACUUGAUAGCAGCAGCUUUUGUGACUUCAUUAUUAAGACAAAGACCUUUAAUGAGGGUACUUAAGGUUACGACAUCGGGAUGAUAACCAAGUUUGAGAAUUUUGGCAAGAACAGAGAAGGCAAAGGUCAUUUGAUGUAAAUGACAGAAACAAUUGAUGACGAUGCUGAAAAUGACAAGAUUACUCUGAAUUCCCUUGAGUUCCAUUUCCUUAAAAAGGGAAAUAGUUGUAGAAUAGUGUUUCAUCCUUGUAAGAGAUCCCAAAAUCUUCUCAAAUUGGUAGAUGGGAGGAACAGGACGCAUAUGAAACAUGCUACGAAAUUGGGAGACCAGGUCCCGAACAUUGUCAUGGUCAAGUGAAGGAGACUGAGAGUGAUAGUGUAAGUGAAAGGAAGUGAAGAAAGAAGGGUUUGGAAGAAAAGGAAAAACCUUAGAAAUGAAAUAAGAAUCUCUAGCGUGUGAGAGUCACGGCAAGGAAGGUUAGGCGGAGGUAGAAUCCGAUCCAUGGUUGGCGCUGCGUCAGGCGGUGAAUGGCAGCCUGUUCGGUGGAGGUGACGGCGAACAGUUCCGCCGGUGGUGGUGGCUUCGAGCUCAAAAGGGAGAGCUAUCUCUCUCACGCGAAGAGGGAAGAGAAGCUGAGCUUGGAGCUGUGGUCGUUGAUGGUCCUGAUGGUAAGUAGUGGUUGCGCUUGGCGGUGGUCCGACUAGGGUUUCCUGUGACGAUGACUCGUGGCGGCAGCAGCAAGUGCCUUCACCGGCAACGGUUAAGACGCACUGCGGAGGGGCAAGAUCGUUAUCUCUUCGAAGCAAGAGGAGAGAAGGGGAUUGACGCCAUGGCCGGCGGUGACUACGGGGGUGUGGCGUCGUCGGCGACGACGAGACUGGAGUAGGUGGUGGCGCGGUGGCUGGUUUCGAAUUGAUGGUGCUGUGAGUAGAGCUGUCAAACUAGCCCAUUUAAUAGGUCCUGGCCCUAACCCAUGUGGGUUGGGGCCAAAAAAGCCCACAGGGCCAAAAAAUAUUUUAUUGAAAAAGCCCACAGGGCUAAAAAGCCUCAAAGCCCUAUGGGUCAGGGCCAGCCCAUGGGCUUUUCUUUUUACCAAAUUUCUAAAAGAAUCAAAUGCAGUUAAUCUGUAAUACCACUCAAUCAAAUGCACUUGGUUAACCAAUUCGGCGUUACAUUAGAAUGCCAGAUACUCCGCGUAACAACAGAUACUAAUAGGAUUUAGAAUUUCACUGGACGCUCUCAAUACGUUAUUCAAAGGGCGUGGAGCUUCCUCUGACUUUGCAGCAAGAAAAAAGCAACAGUAGCAAUCAACUGUAACACAAAAUUAAUGUUAAUAGAAAAUCAGUUUGGCCACAGAGAUGCAAGUUGAAGGAAAAAAUUAAAAGUAACAUUAUACAAUUUCAAUAAAAUAGCAAGCACUAACUACAUACAAAUCCAUAACAAAAUUUCUAAGAAUUUAUAGAUUAUAAUUGUAGAAAAAUAUUCAUGGAUGACACAGACCUCAUUGAAGCAUAUAAGAAAAGUAAAAAAUAGAUUUAGAGUUACCAGGACAAAUAGAAACUCACAAAUAUAUCAUGGCAUUAACAUUAACUAUUCAGAUUGAUCAUUUAACUACAGAUCUCAGGUGAUCCUUUAAACAGAAUAGGGCUACCAGGAUCAACAUGCAAUUCUAUUUAUGCAUCUGGUUAAUUCAUUUUUAUGAUAUUUUACCAUGUUUCAUGUAUUAAGGAAAUAUAAAAGUAUAUUAUACUAUCAUUAAAUAAAAAGAUAGGAUAUAGUAAAAAGAGAUAAAGAGAAAUAUAGAGAUUGGUCAGGUGUUUAAGAAUAAAGAUGAUAGUUUUAUGACCUUGUAACGGAGCCUGCACAUGUGGCCUUUAGUAGAAAAGACUUUGAUUGAUCUCUCAGUGCAGAAGGAAACCUUGUCUGUGGAAAUGAAGAGAAGACCUGCUAAAGGGCCUGAUGUGGUUGACAGAUAGCACGGUGAAGCUUUCAAGAGUUUCUCUCCAUUUCCCACUCUGAAGAAAUGCUUGAACACUUUCUUCACUCCACCAACUUGAACAAUUUCAGCACCCAGACUCAACUUUCCCAUAACAGUCUCACUUAUAGUUGGCCCCAGUCUCACUGAAAUUUCAUCAAUGUCAAAAUGUCAAAAUGCUUGAAAGCUAGAAUCUACUGUGUAAUUAACCUCUGCCACCUUGUAAGUGCAUGCAUGUUUUACUCACCGUGUUCACGUACUUCUUGCGAAAAGCUAUCAACUUUCCUUCCAAUAACAAGCUUGUUUAUGAGAGAAAAUAUGCUACCUGAAACAUAAUGUUCAUUAAACCAUUGCACAUGAUCAAAUUUACAUCCUUCGCAUCUCCUACCCCGACUACCCUCUCCAUGUUCACCUGCAAAAUCACCAAUUUCAGACAAUCAAAACCAGAACAGCAAAACCAAACCCCCCAAAAAUCACUAUGUAAGGUGGACCUACAUUUGUAGCCUUCAAAUUUCUACAUGUGGCUUCAGCUCUUUCCAUCACUGAAUUAAUAAGGUGUAUACUGUACUUUUCCAUAGCAUCAAUAAAUCAUUGGAAAAGAUAUACCCUGUAAAACAUUACCAACUUAGUCAAUAACAUGAUUUUAAGAUAAGGUGCAAACAAUAUAAUUACAUAAUAAGAAAGUGUAGUUAAUCAAGUAACCUGCAGCAUCCAAGGAGUAGAAAGCAGAGGGUGGCCUGACAUAAAGAAGCACAAGCUUGUUGGUAUGAUCAAUGUUAACUCUGACAAUGUUAACAAUUUUACUCUGUCAUUGAGACUGCAGGAAAAAAGGAAGAAAAGGAAAAUAUAAGCAUUAUAAUACCGAGAACUCUUCUCUUCAAGCACCAAUUAUACCUCAAAAAUCAAGAAACUAUUAAACACAUAAACGACCCUGACCAAUAAAAGUGAUUGUGUUUAUUAGGAGGAGAAUCACAUGGGUUGAAACUUUUAACAUAAAAAACAUGGUGCCAUUUACACUGAAAUAAUGAAACAGAUGCAGUUGCGCUUGUUCUAAAGAGUCCCUUUCAAAUGUUCAAAAACGAAAUAAAUGGGUGCGUUUGGAAAAGCAAGAAAGUGAAAAUUCAAUUAAGCAUAUCACAAAAUUCACCUAGCCAUAUAUCACAAUUAAUCAUCAUCUGGGAGCCACUCAUCAAACGGACCAAACUCUAAAAUCAGAUUGUGGGUCCGAAAAUUUAUUCUCACCCUUUUCAGCUUACUAACCCCAUCUCACCAACAACAUUAUUAGAUAUCACGAAAAACAUUAAUUUAGAUGGCAUAUGCUAUAAAUAUACAGCUUCUGAUUUUUCUAGGUUAUGCUCUUGUUCAGUUCAAAAUCGGGUUAAUUUCAUAAGAAAAACCUAAAUCAGAGAGGUAAAUAAGUAUGAAGUUGAUGAGAAAGGAAGUGGGUACCUCCAAAAUGGAAUGGACCGUGUGAAAUCGACAAGCAAGAGCAUGAUUGAGAGAAUGGUCGAAUUAGGUUUUGCCCUUCUUGCAAAUUUUGAGGUUGAAGCUGUCGUGCCGUUGAGCUCGUAGCGUUUCUUCAGACAGAAAUAAAUGGGAAUGGUUCAGCGUUUGCACAAAAGAAACUGAAGUUCUGGGGUCAGGGGGUUGACCCGGCCCUGAUUCAAUCCCAACCCCUUUUUUGGGGCUUUUGGGGCUUUUGGGGCUUUAGAAAAGCCCCUUAAGACGAGGGCCAGAAAAAAAUGGGCUAACUGUAAAGGGGGUUAGGGCUGGCCUCGGAGCUAAAAAGUUAAUUGACAGUUCUAGCUGUGAGACCUUAGGUCUUGAGGGAAUUGAAUGAGUGGGAAACGAGGGAGAUAAGUGAGAACCCUGAUUUUCUGAAUUGAAGGGAUCCUGGGACGUUGGGCCAAACCCAAAAGCGAAAGCCUUCUUUCGCUACCCCCGUUUCUGCUAAUUUGCGCCGCAUGUCCCAUUCGUUGAUGACAAGAGAAAAGCCCCUCUGCACCCCCACUAAUGCUAAGCCGCGCCUCUUUCCAAUUGGGCUUAGGCCUAGUCUGCAAUUGGAAACAAAUUUAGACACCCCAUUCUCAUUUUUACACCCCUAGCCACUUGGGCUGAGGCCCAAUUAGUUUUUUAAAAAUAGUUUGCUCACCCAUUUUCUUAUUUAAGCACCUUUGCAAUUUCUUUCUUUACUUUGUUGUUAUUUAUUUUAUUUUAAUUUUUAUUUAUUUAUCUUUUAAUUCUAUUUUUAUUUUUUAUUUUAUUUUUAUUUUUAUUUUCUCUUUUUUAUUUUAAAUAUUUAUCUACUUUUUAAGUAUAUGAAUAUCAAAAACAACAAAAAUAUUUUUUAAAAAAGGGUCUAGC